UACGGAGGGUGCAAGCGUUAUCCGGAUUCACUGGGUUUAAAGGGUGCGUAGGCGGAUUGGUAAGUCCGUGGUGAAAUCUCCAAGCUUAACUUGGAAACUGCCAUGGAUACUAUUAGUCUUGAAUAUUGUGGAGGUUAGCGGAAUAUGUCAUGUAGCGGUGAAAUGCAUAGAUAUGACAUAGAACAUCAAUUGCGAAGGCAGCUGGCUACACAAAUAUUGACGCUGAUGCACGAAAGCGUGGGGAUCAAACAGG
rnacentral:rRNA from 1 species